GAAAGGAAGAGAAAGAAAAUGAGCACCUAAGAGCAUUGGGCGUGGUAACAUAGAUGAAAGUCGAGACUAUUGUUUCCCUCAACAAUUGGGUGGAAAUAUAUGUUUCCAAGUUUUCCCCAUGCCUCUCAUGCCUGUUGUUCUUAGGCGUUCCUUCCUCUUCCUUUUGACU
rnacentral:pre_miRNA from 1 species